AUUGAACGCUGGCGGCAGGCCUAACACAUGCAAGUCGAACGAUUGGCGGACGGGUGAGUAAUGUCUGGGAAACAGCCUGAUGGAGGGGGAUAACUACUGGAAAGGGUAGCUAAUAACGCCUACCAUCAGAUGUGCCUAGAUGGGCUUAGCAAGUUGGUGGGGUAACGGCUCACCAAGGCGACGAUGCCUAGCUGGGUUGGGAGGAUGACCGGCCACACUGGAACAUAGACACGGUCCAGACUCCUACGGGAGGCAGCAGUGGGGAAUAUUGGACAAUUGGCGCAAGCCUGAUGCAGCCAUGCCGCGUGGAUGAAGGAGGCCUUCGGGUUUUCAAGUACUUUCCGCGGGUAGGCGUUACCCGCAGAAGAAGCACCGGCUAACUCCGUGCCAGCAGCCGCGGUAAUUC
rnacentral:rRNA from 1 species